rnacentral:rRNA from 1 species
GGUAUCCUGACCGUGCUAAGGUAGCAUAAUCAUUUGCCUCUUAAUUGGUGGCUAGUAUGAAUGGACACACGCAAGCAUCGCUGUCUCACUAAUAUAAAUAAAAACUAACCUUUAGGUGAAGAGGCCUAAAUAAAAUAAAAAGACAAAAAGACCCUAUGGAGCUUUAUUUUUCCUCCUUUAACGUACAAUAUACUAAAAUACCUUCCAGGACUAACAAAUUUAGUUGGGGCGACUUAGGAAAACAAUAAAUCUUCCUAGUUUAACAAGAAAAUAAUUCAUCCAACGAUCCGCCAUGCGAAUACAGAUCCAGCUACCCUAGGGAUAACAGGCUAAUUCUUCUCGAGAGCCCGAAUUGACAGAAGAGAUUGGCACCUCG